GACGCACCGUGCGAACGUUAUUCGGAAUCACUGGGCUUAAAGGGUGCGUAGGCGGUUUGCCAAGUCUGUGGUGAAAUCCUCCGGCUUAACCGGAGAACUGCCGUGGAUACUGGCGACCUCGAGGGGUGUAGGGGCUUGCGGAACUGUGCGUGGAGCGGUGAAAUGCGUUGAUAUGCACAGGAACUCCGGUGGCGAAAGCGGCGAGCUGGACACCUUCUGACGCUGAGGCACGAAAGCCAGGGGAGCGAACGGG
rnacentral:rRNA from 1 species